AGACUGAAUAAGUAAGGUUGCCCUCACCAAUGUAGGUGGGCAUCAUUCAAUCUGAUGAGGGUCUGGGUAGGAGAAAAAGUGGAUGAAGGACAAUUUCACUCUCUGCUUGAGAAGAAACAUCCAUCUUCUCCUGCCCUUAGACAUCAGUGAUCCUGGUUCUUGGGCUUUUUGACUCAGACUAGGAAUUUCACCAUCAGCUCUGCUGGUUCUCAGGCCUCUGGGCUUGGACUGGUACUAUACUCCUGCCUUUCCUGGGCUUUCAAUUUGCAGAUGGCAGAUCGUGGGACUGCUCAGCCUCCGUAAUCAGAUCUUUAUAGAAAUGAAACAAAUGACAGAGAAAAACUCACUUAUCUGUUUCUGAAAGUCAGUAUGCUGUACAAAAGAAAACAUCCUUCAGGAACUGCAAUGCUGAUGUAAAACAUAGCAAAAUAAAACAAAAACAGAAUUUUGAGUUUUCAGAGCUUCUACCUCAAAGUGGAUCAAACUCUAUCAAAUUGAUCAUGUUAUCAGAGUGUGACCAUAUGAUGUACUGAAGAUGGCUGUGAACAUGAAUUGAAGAUCUUUGAGUCUUAAGAGAACACAGAACACCAGGGAAACUAUAAUGAAGACUAUCAGGAGACUAUAAGGAGGAUAAUACUAAUAAACAGAAGUAUACUCCUUAACCAGGGCCCCAGUGAACCAAACCAGUUCAUACCA
rnacentral:lncRNA from 1 species